GCCGGUCCAUGUAUGAGUCUGUUGGAACACAGCGUCAUAGAGGGUGACAACCCCGUUCAUGACAUGGAUCCCGGUGCUUUGUGAUACACUCUCGAAGAGUCGAGUUGUUUGGGAAUGCAGCUCAAAUUGGGUGGUAAAUUCCAUCUAAAGCUAAAUAUUGGCGAGAGACCGAUAGCAAACAAGUACCGUGAGGGAAAGAUGAAAAGCACUUUGGAAAGAGAGUUAACAGUACGUGAAAUUGUUGAAAGGGAAACGAUUGAAGUCAGACGUGCGUGAUGCGGUUCAGCUUUAGUUCGCUAGAGUGUACUCCGUAUCUUUGCAGGCCAGCAUCGGUUUUGUUAGUCGGAUAAAGGUUUGAGAAAUGUGGCAUCUUCGGAUGUGUUAUAGUCUCAGACUGAAUACGAUUGAUGGGACCGAGGAACGCAGCGCGCCGCAAGGCAAAGGUUCCGACCUUUUCGCGCUUAGGAUGCUGGUGAAAUGGCUUUAAACGACCCGU
rnacentral:rRNA from 1 species